rnacentral:misc_RNA from 1 species
GAUGAAGAACGCAGCGAAAUGCGAUAAGUAGUGUGAAUUGCAGAAUUCAGUGAAUCAUCGAAUCUUUGAACGCACAUUGCGCCCCCUGGUAUUCCGGGGAGCAUGCCUGUCCGAGCGUCAUUGCUGCCCUCAAGCACGGCUUGUGUGUUGGGCCUCCGUCCUCCUCCCGGGGGACGGGCCCGAAAGGCAGCGGCGGCACCGCGUCCGGUCCUCGAGCGUAUGGGGCUUCGUCACCCGCUCUUGUAGGCCCGGCCGGCGCUUGCCGACACAUCAAUCUUUUUUCCAGGUUGACCUCGGAUCAGGUAGGGAUACCCGCUGAACUUAAGCAUAUCAAUAAGCGGAGGA